AGAGUUUGAUCCUGGCUCAGGACGAACGCUGGCGGCGUGCUUAAUACAUGCAAGUCGAACGAGAAGCCACCGCUCCGUAAGGAGUGGUGGUGGAAAGUGGCGAACGGGUGAGUAACACGUGGGUAACGUGCCCCGGACACCGGGAUAACAGUGGGAAACCGCUGCUAAUACCGGAUGACCCUGCAGCGUCGCAUGAUGCAGCAGGCAAAUGGUCAGCCGGUCCGGGAUCGGCCCGCGGUGUAUCAGCUUGUUGGUGAGGUAACGGCCUACCAAGGCUUUGACGCAUAGCUGGCGUGAGAGCGCGACCAGCCACACUGGGACUGAGACACGGCCCAGACUCCUACGGGAGGCAGCAGUAGGGAAUCUUGCGCAAUGGGCGAAAGCCUGACGCAGCGACGCCGCGUGAGGGAUGAAUGCCUUCGGGUUGUAAACCUCUUUCAGCAGGGACGAAGCCCUUUGGGUGACGGUACCUGCAGAAGAAGCCCCGGCCAACUACGUGCCAGCAGCCGCGGUAAUACGUAGGGGGCAAGCGUUGUCCGGAUUUAUUGGGCGUAAAGAGCUCGUAGGCGGCUGGUCACGUCGGGUGUGAAAGCUCAGAGCUCAACUCUGAGAGGCCAUUCGAUACGGAUCAGCUAGAGGUAGGUAGGGGAAAGUGGAAUUCCCGGUGUAGCGGUGAAAUGCGCAGAUAUCAGGAGGAACACCGGUGGCGAAGGCGGCUUUCUGGGCCUUACCUGACGCUGAGGAGCGAAAGCUGGGGGAGCGAACAGGAUUAGAUACCCUGGUAGUCCCAGCCGUAAACGUUGAGUGCUAGGUGUGGGGAGGUCUUCAACCCUCUCUGUGCCGCAGCUAACGCAUUAAGCACUCCGCCUGGGAGUACGGCCGCAGGCUAAACUCAAGGAUUGACGGGACCCGCACAGCGGCG
rnacentral:rRNA from 1 species